AGAACCAGGGCUAAGGCUUAGCAGAUGGUGACUGUAGAUGAUGAUGGACCCUCCGCUGAACUGUCCGUCCGUACGUGUAUAUCUGUUUAUAAAUUUAUUUCGAUUGUGUUAACUUUUUUUUAAAGGCAGCACAAUCGGCUUGCGUUCAUGGGGCCAAAAAAACCCUAUUCUUAAACCACCAAAGCUACCUAAAAUUAGCUCACACCUCGGGCACCUUUCCUCCCAAAGCUGGAAAAGAAAUGUAGGGUACUGAAACAAAAGGCAGUCAGGUCUGGAUUCUGUCUGUCCACAGUAAAAAAUGUGAUCAACCGUCUGCAUAGGGUUCUUUACAUGGACAUGUCGGUGUGAGCAUGCCAGUUUUCUGCGCCUCCCACGAUGACUGGAGCGGUGAUGGUGACUGGACGUGUUCAGUGACCGAAUGGAUGGUUAUAUAGUUGUAGAUUUCAUUCGUAUUUCGUAGGUUUAAAAAUUCAUUAGCUUGUAGGUAUUUUUCAUGAUUUCGCAGAUAGUUGUAAGUCUUUAUUUUUUUAUCUUUUCAAUUAGUUUGUAAACUUUAUAUUUUUACUUUAGCUUGCAAGAUUUUAUAUUAUUUAUCUUUUAAGCUCACAUUAAGAUUUUUAAGUUCAAACGAUUUAUCACACUCUUGGUUCUUUUGCCGUGUACAUUAGUGACGUCCUACACCGUCCAUUAGUGGCACAAAAUAUAGUUCAUAAAAACAACAAA